rnacentral:lncRNA from 1 species
GAAUGCCACUUCUAGCCUGUUUUUCCUGCAAGGAGUUCAGUUGAACAUGACUCUUCCUGAUGCCAUAGAGCCCACGUUCAGCACCUCCAACUAUUCCCUGAAAGCUCUUCAGGCCAGUGUCGGCAACUCAUACAAGUGCAACAGUGAGGAGCACAUCUUUGUCAGCAAGGCGCUCGCCCUCAAUGUCUUCAGCGUGCAAGUCCAGGCUUUCAGGGUAGAAAGUGACAGGUUUGGGUCUGGUAAGUAGCAGAGGCGGCAUCCAGAGUAAGGGUGACAGCAGAAGCAUCUUAGAACCUCUGGUGGGACAGGAUAUGGAUAGGGAGCAAGCACCCUUUUCCUCUGCAAAGACCUUUCCUUCUUCCCAGCUGAGACUUCCCUUUGUAAUGAGGGAACUGCAGGAGUGGGUAUGUGAGGUAGGGAUGUCCUGACUGAGGAAAGACAGUCAGUGGCUCUUUCUGAAAGCUGACCAAUGGUCCAGUGGUCGGCACCAUUCAUUCCGACCUUGGUGGAGCAGUUCUGGGAUUACCCAGCUGCAUAGAAAACACUGGUGUCUAUAGACUUCCCGAAGGUGUGGAUCGUUUGGUCCCUAGCCUGGCUUCUUCCCUUCUCAGGCUGGGAGGAACAAGUGGGAGGGGAGUGCGGACCCUGGAGUGAAUACCCUGGGUUGUGUGUCUGUCUUGCAGUGGAAGAGUGUGUACAGGACGGUAACAACAUGCUGAUCCCCAUUGCUGUGGGCGGGGCCCUGGCAGGGCUGGUCCUCAUCGUCCUCAUCGCCUACCUCAUCGGCAGGAAGAGGAGUCACGCGGGCUAUCAGACCAUCUAGCCUGGUGGGCAGGUGCGCCACAGACGCACACGGGCCUGUUCUCACAUCCCCAAGCUUAGAUAGGUGUGGAAGGGAGGGAGGCACACUUGUGGCAAACUGUUUUCAAAUCUGCUUUAUCAAAUGUGAAGCUCAUCUUGCAACAUUUA